CCUACGGGAGGCAGCAGUAGGGAAUAUUGCUCAAUGGGCGAAACCCUGAAGCAGCAACGCCACGUGGAGGAUGAAGGUUUUCGGAUUGUAAACUCCUUUUGUUAGAGAAGAUAAUGACGGUAUCUAACGAAUAACCACCGGCUAAAUCCGUGCCAGCAGCCGCGGUAAUACGGAGGGUGCAAGCGUUAAUCGGAAUCUCUGGGCGUAAAGAGCGCGUAGGCGGGAUAGCAAGUCAGAUGUGAAAUCCUAUGGCUUAACCAUAGAACUGCAUUUGAAACUGUUAUUCUAGAGUAUGCGAGAGGUAGGUGGAAUUCGUGGUGUAGCGGUGAAAUGCGUAGAGAUCAAGAAGAAUACUCAUUGCGAAGGCGACCUGCUGGAACAUAACUGACGCUGAGGCGCGAAAGCGUGGGGAGCAAACAGGAUUAGAUACCCGAGUAGUC
rnacentral:rRNA from 1 species